GAUGGAUCGAGGUAUCGCCUGGCUCCGGGCUGUCAGUCGCCCACCCGGGAACCCAGCUCGCCGCUGCUGUACCCCGCCCAGCCCUGGGUACCCGAAAUCCACGCUGCGCAGCUCUCACUUGGCGACCCCCUGACCUGGAGGAUCUGGAACGGACAAGACCGGGAGAGGAUAAGGGGUGCAGCGCUGGCCGCUGCUGAGCGACCCCGGUUAAAGCAAGAAGAGAGGAAGUGAGUCCCGGACAGUUCUUGGGCCUCAGGUGACCAGGAGCUGACCAGGACCUUUGUGCAGCCCCCACACCAAUUCUUAGCACACCCUGCCCCGAGGGCACCUGGGUGCGGCCAGUCAGCCCCUGUAACUCUGCCCCGGGGUUACAGAUGCGGGGGGAACCGGGAGAGGCCAGGUCAGCAUGUUCAGUUCCCAAGAGAGGGGUUAAUCUGUUCGUUUUAGGGGCGCAGAGUGCAGCGUCACCCCGCCAGUCCGGGCAGUUCGGGCGCGGGGUUGGGAGUGGGCUUGAGUCUCGACCCUGCGCCAUGGGCCAUCUGCAAGUUCCCCUGCAGAGCAGGAGAGGCAUCGGGAGCUCGUGGUCCCCCUCCACUCUCGCAAACCUGGGGAACCAGAGAGGACAUGGACUCCCUGCGCCAGGAAGCAGGGGCGAACAGAGUGGGCAAAGACCUGACAGCUGGUUAUAUGCCAGCACCAUAGGUCACUGUGGGAUAGAGGGACGAGAGUAUUUGGGAAAUAGAGGUCUUGAUCCUCCACACACCCACCCCUUC
rnacentral:lncRNA from 1 species